GCCUGGGUGGCUCAGUGGUUGAGCAUCUGCCUUUGGCUCAGGUCGUGAUCCCAGGGUCUGGGGAUCGAGUCUCCCAUCAGGCU
rnacentral:tRNA from 1 species